rnacentral:misc_RNA from 1 species
UGUAGCUGGAGUACCCUUUUAUAUUUCAUUCGACAACUACUGGGUCAUUUUCUAGCGUAGCAUUCUUCAUAUUACUUUGAAGAUAAAAUAUGAGCUAGUACUUUAAUAAUAACAUGUCAAAGCUUCUCACAAUAUUAAUGCUGCAAUCUAUCAUGUAACUAAGCCAUCAUUUAGACAACAGCUCAAGUGAUUUCACGAUGCCUUUCUGAGUUAUUGAAACCUCCUGAAAAGACCUGAGGUGCAAAGACCUACAUGUCAACUGUAAUCUUUGCAUCCAGCUGAGAGAACUCUUGGAAAAAUGCCUUGAAAUGCUCGUAGGAAUACUUGACAUCAUCAACUGCACACAUCUCCCGGAUACUGUGCAUUGAAAACUGUGGGGCACCUACAUCAACUGUACGAAUUCCUACACCACUUGCAAGGAUUGGACCUAUGGUCGAACCACAAGGCAUGUCAUUGCGGACCACAAAAUCCUG